rnacentral:rRNA from 1 species
AGAGUUUGAUCAUGGCUCAGAUUGAACGCUGGCGGCAGGCCUAACACAUGCAAGUCGAACGGUAACAGGAAGCAGCUUGCUGCUUCGCUGACGAGUGGCGGACGGGUGAGUAAUGUCUGGGAAACUGCCUGAUGGAGGGGGAUAACUACUGGAAACGGUGGCUAAUACCGCAUAACGUCGCAAGACCAAAGAGGGGGACCUUCGGGCCUCUUGCCAUCAGAUGUGCCCAGAUGGGAUUAGCUAGUUGGUGAGGUAACGGCUCACCAAGGCGACGAUCCCUAGCUGGUCUGAGAGGAUGACCAGCCACACUGGAACUGAGACACGGUCCAGACUCCUACGGGAGGCAGCAGUGGGGAAUAUUGCACAAUGGGCGCAAGCCUGAUGCAGCCAUGCCGCGUGUAUGAAGAAGGCCUUCGGGUUGUAAAGUACUUUCAGCGGGGAGGAAGGUGUUGUGGUUAAUAACCGCAGCAAUUGACGUUACCCGCAGAAGAAGCACCGGCUAACUCCGUGCCAGCAGCCGCGGUAAUACGGAGGGUGCAAGCGUUAAUCGGAAUUACUGGGCGUAAAGCGCACGCAGGCGGUCUGUCAAGUCGGAUGUGAAAUCCCCGGGCUCAACCUGGGAACUGCAUUCGAAACUGGCAGGCUUGAGUCUUGUAGAGGGGGGUAGAAUUCCAGGUGUAGCGGUGAAAUGCGUAGAGAUCUGGAGGAAUACCGGUGGCGAAGGCGGCCCCCUGGACAAAGACUGACGCUCAGGUGCGAAAGCGUGGGGAGCAAACAGGAUUAGAUACCCUGGUAGUCCACGCCGUAAACGAUGUCUACUUGGAGGUUGUGCCCUUGAGGCGUGGCUUCCGGAGCUAACGCGUUAAGUAGACCGCCUGGGGAGUACGGCCGCAAGGUUAAAACUCAAAUGAAUUGACGGGGCCCGCACAAGCGGUGGAGCAUGUGGUUUAAUUCGAUGCAACGCGAAGAACCUUACCUGGUCUUGACAUCCACAGAACUUUCCAGAGAUGGAUUGGUGCCUUCGGGAACUGUGAGACAGGUGCUGCAUGGCUGUCGUCAGCUCGUGUUGUGAAAUGUUGGGUUAAGUCCCGCAACGAGCGCAACCCUUAUCCUUUGUUGCCAGCGAUUAGGUCGGGAACUCAAAGGAGACUGCCAGUGAUAAACUGGAGGAAGGUGGGGAUGACGUCAGUCAUCAUGGCCCUUACGACCAGGGCUACACACGUGCUACAAUGGCGCAUACAAAGAGAAGCGACCUCGCGAGAGCAAGCGGACCUCAUAAAGUGCGUCGUAGUCCGGAUUGGAGUCUGCAACUCGACUCCAUGAAGUCGGAAUCGCUAGUAAUCGUGGAUCAGAAUGCCACGGUGAAUACGUUCCCGGGCCUUGUACACACCGCCCGUCACACCAUGGGAGUGGGUUGCAAAAGAAGUAGGUAGCUUAACCUUCGGGAGGGCGCUUACCACUUUGUGAUUCAUGACUGGGGUGAAGUCGUAACAAGGUAACCGUAGGGGAACCUGCGGUUGGAUCACCU